GAUCAUGGCUCAGGAUGAACGCUAGCGGCAGGCUUAACACAUGCAAGUCGAGGGGUAUCACGCUUUCGGGCGUGAGAGACCGGCGCACGGGUGCGUAACGCGUAUACAAUCUACCUUUUACAGAGGGAUAGCCCAGAGAAAUUUGGAUUAAUACCUCAUAGUAUUUUCGAAUCGCAUGAUUUGAUUAUUAAAGUUCCAACGGUACAGGAUGGGCAUGCGUCCCAUUAGCUAGAUGGUAAGGUAACGGCUUACCAUGGCAACGAUGGGUAGGGGGCCUGAGAGGGUGGUCCCCCACACUGGUACUGAGACACGGACCAGACUCCUACGGGAGGCAGCAGUGAGGAAUAUUGGUCAAUGGGCGCAAGCCUGAACCAGCCAUGCCGCGUGCAGGAAGACGGUCCUAUGGAUUGUAAACUGCUUUUAUUUGGGAAUAAACCUAUUUACGUGUAGAUAGCUGAAGGUACCAAAUGAAUAAGCACCGGCUAACUCCGUG
rnacentral:rRNA from 1 species